AAGCUUGUCUUUCUUUGCCAGACGAGGCAAGCUUCUGGUAAGAUUGUGAAGAUGAAGUGAAGGUUAGGUUUAAAGGGUUUUCAUGGAGUUAGUAGAGAUAAAAGGAGUGGUGGUUUGGCUUUGUUCUUAGAUGAAUCGUUGCAAGUAACUGUUAUUGAAUCUUGUGCAAGAUAUAUUGAUGCCCAGGUGGUGGAUGUGAGCUCUAAUUUGAGAUGGUGGUGUAUGUUUGUUUACGGUGAACCUCGUGUGGAAAAUCGUCAUUUUAUGUGGGAACAUUUGGAGGGCCUUCACGCUAUUUCGGACGAGCCAUGGACAGUGUGUGGAGACUACAACGGGGCCAUGUGGUAGCAUGAACAUCUGUCAAGUUCAUUGCGCGCCGAGGCCCAAAUGAUGGUGUUUCGUGAUUGUUUGACGGUCUGCGAGCUAUUGGACUUAGGUUUCUGUGGGAUCCCAUACACUUAUGAUAACAUGCAUGGGGGAGAUCAUAAUGUUCGGGUCCGCUUAGACCAUGCAUGUGCUUAUGAACCAUGUUGUGAUAUUUUCCCGGAUGCACGUGUUCGUCAUUUGGCUACUUCCUGUUCGGACGACUGUUCAGUUCUUGUGCAACUUUUGGCAGAGGAGGGCCGGACGUUCCAAUCACAUGUACGGAAUUAUGGAGUGAGAACCGGCAUUGCUGGGAAUCAUUGGUGUGGCGUGGGAUAG
rnacentral:rRNA from 1 species